AAGGCUAUGUGUAACUGGCGAAGCGCGGAGAACCGUGAGGGAGCACAUAGUGUCGACAGCCGUUCGCCUGGGCAGAGGUA
rnacentral:ncRNA from 2 species